rnacentral:rRNA from 1 species
GGUUGAUCCUGCCAGUAGUCAUAUGCUUGUCUCAAAGAUUAAGCCAUGCAUGUCUAAGUAUAAGCCCUUGUACGGCGAAACUGCGAAUGGCUCAUUAAAACAGUUAUCGUUUCUUUGAUAAUCAUUUACUACAUGGAUAACUGUAGUAAUUCUAGAGCUAAUACAUGCGUCAAUGCUCAACUUCACGGAAGAGCUGCAUUUAUUAGAUACAAAGCCAACCCGAAGCUCGCUUCGGACCCGUUGGUGAUUCAUAAUAACUAAGCGAAUCGCACAGGCUUGCCUGGCGAUGGAU